GCUUUUGACAUUUGAGGCUCAAUCAGCAGAGCAUGGGACUCCUGAUCUCAGGGUUGUGGGUUCGAGUCCCAUUUUGGGCA